rnacentral:rRNA from 1 species
UUUGUAAUUGGAAUGAUGGGAAUGUAAAGCCCUUCCAGAGUAACAAUUGGAGGGCAAGUCUGGUGCCAGCAGCCGCGGUAAUUCCAGCUCCAAUAGUGUAUAUUAGAGUUGUUGCAGUUAAAAAGCUCGUAGUUGGAUUUCUGUCGUGGUCAGUCGGCGGCGCCCGUAUGGGUGUGCGCGUGAUUUGCCCGCGACAUUCUUCCGGUAGCCAUCCGCGCUUAACUGCGUGGGGUGCGUGAUCCGGAACCUUUACUUUGAGAAAAAUAGAGUGUUUCAAGCAGGCUUGUCGCCCUGAAUACUGCAGCAUGGAAUAAUAAGAUAGGACGUUGGUUCUAUUUUGUUGGUUUCUAGGACCAAUGUAAUGAUUAAUAGGGACAGUGGGGGG